CUUUUCUCUUCUUCCUGAGCUCUACCCUCACAGCCCAGCACCACCCCUCUGGUUGAAACCUGGUCUCACUGCUCGGCCAGGCUGGGCUCCAACUUGCCGAUGGGCGAGUUUCAGACCUAGUGACUGUCCCUUUUUCUGGAAGUGCUUUUGCUUUUCGGUUCUGGGGAUUUAGCCCAGCGCCUGCGCAUUCUAAGUAGUAGUUGUACUUUGCAGUGGAACUAAUGUGAACCGGUUUUCUGUAAGGUCUAACAACUGAGCGUUGGAUUUUCGGCUCUGGUUUUCACUAGCACUGAGUUCUGCCUCAGCCAGUUUCAUAGUCUUGGAGCUUUUCCUGAGUAUCAUAGUUUCCUCUUUGCGAUGUAACACACGUAAGGCAGCGUUGUCCUAUCUUUGGGAGUUAGCUAUGGUGGCUAAAAGUUGGAAUUUUUAGUGUCCUCUUGGGUAAAGGCAGUAACAUAAUUUUUCCAUUUACUACUUGAAUUUAGGAAAUUUAGGUUGAACUGCUGAAUGGUGCUGUUGAUUAAAGUUUUUUUACUGGCCGGGGAUUUAGCUCAGUGGUUUCACCGCCUGCUGUGCAAACGCUAGGGCCCGAGUUCGAUCCCCAGUACAAAAAAAAAUUUUUUUUUUUAAAAAUUGAACUGCCACAGAUCGAAUCCUGGGCUUAUCACACUGAGCUACAACUCCCAUCCAUUCCUUUUUUGACAGGGUCUUGCUAAAUUAAACUGGGCUUGAAGUUGGCACCCUUCUGGUCCUGCCUCCUAGAGUGCUGGGAUUACAGGUGUGCACCACCAUGCUCAACAAAUCAUUUGAGGACAAAUUGAGAACAUGUGUGGAGUUGUUUCUACCUUCGUAUACAAAAGCGCAAAAUUCCAUAGGUUAUAGAUUGGUGUCACCCCAGAAUUCAUUUUGAGUGCCUAAAGUAUAUAAAGCUUUUCAGACUAGGGUUAAAAGAAGUCAUAAGGUCACAAUCCAUUGACUGCUGUAUUUUAAAAAUAGUGCUCAAGGUGGCCUCAAACUUCUGGUCUGAGGAGAUCCUCCCGCUUUGGCCUAAGUAUCAGACUGGGGACUGCUGGCAGGCAUAGUCCACACCUGCCUGGCUCCCCUAGCCAGUGUCUUUGUGAGAGACAAGGCACGCGCCUGGCGUCCGGGCUAUUGCACAAUGAGGCUGAAGCAAGAAAAGGAAUACGGCAGUCUGCCAUGCAUUAACUGAGGAGACUCCCACGGGGGAAGGGGAAGGAGACCACCCGAAACUAUUUGACUUUACACAAAUGUAGUUAAAUUGGCUAUCACAUGAGGACACAGGAGGAAGGCAUCUCAAGCUGGAAGCCAAGGGGUGUCAGGAGAAACCAGAGGUACUGACACCUUGAGCUUAUACUUUGAGUUUCUAGAACUGAGAAAACAUGCAGUUUGAACGUCUUAGAAUUGCUCACCUUGUGAUAACCGUGACUGGCUUGAACUUGAAAACCUUUGCAUUUAUCGACUUGAUCUGGCUCCAGUGUACUUCUCAUAAUAGGGCCUUAAUAAGUUACCCAGGAUGGGGCCAGAGAUUAGCUCAGUGGUUUCGGGGCCUGCUACGAAAAUUCAAAGGGCCCGAGUUUGAAAAAUCGCCCAGGCUAGCCUCCACUUUUGUAUAUACUCUUUUCUGAGGCUCUCACAGUCCAGACUUGAUACAUGUGUAAUUUCUACGCCUGAGUUGUUUUAGUCAUGUGGGGAAUUUUACUUUGCCCUGCAUUGUGGUGUCAAAAACGGCUUAGACCAGUAAUUUAGCUCAAUGGCAUCCACUAUGCCUCGCAGCUGUACCAAGAAACAAAAAAAUAGUUCGCUAGUUUUUGACUUGAUAAACCAAUUUUUCACUUAAAAAGAGGUGUAAGUACACUAAAAUAAUACACAAGCACAUUUUAAGAAGUAUAAAAAGGAUCACCAACUUUAAUAUGUCCUACAACACAUAAAAAUAAACUUCAUGAGAUUAAUUUCUUGGGGUGUUUCCUACUCCACUUCACAAAUCUCUCACCAACAUAAAAAAUACUAUCUCAGCACCAAAAAUUAGUUAAAGAGCACACUAUUUUAUAACUGACAUGAGAAAGUACAUGAAGUUCAAAUUGCAAGCUUAAAAUUUUUC
rnacentral:lncRNA from 1 species